rfam:Capsaspora owczarzaki ATCC 30864 unplaced genomic scaffold supercont2.10, whole genome shotgun sequence.
GUCGGUGUGGUGUAGUGGUAGCACAUUGGACUUCGAAUCCAAGAGCCUGGGUUCAAUCCCCAACUCCGACA